UACGGAGGGGGCUAGCGUUGUUCGGAAUUACUGGGCGUAAAGCGCGCGUAGGCGGCUUUGUAAGUCAGGGGUGAAAUCCUGGAGCUCAACUCCAGAACUGCCUUUGAUACUGAAGAUCUUGAGUCCGGUAGAGGUGAGUGGAACUGCGAGUGUAGAGGUGAAAUUCGUAGAUAUUCGCAAGAACACCAGUGGCGAAGGCGGCUCACUGGCCCGCUACUGACGCUGAGGCACGAAAGCGUGGGGAGCAAACAGG
rnacentral:rRNA from 1 species